GCGUGAGUGAAGAAGGCCUUAGGGUUGUAAAGCUCUUUCACCUGCGAAGAUGAUGACGGUAGCAGGAGAAGAAGCCCCGGCUAACUCCGUGCCAGCAGCCGCGGUAAUACGGAGGGGGCUAGCGUUGUUCGGAAUUACUGGGCGUAAAGGGCGCGUAGGCGGUAUGUCAAGUCAGGGGUGAAAGGCCUGGGCUCAACCCAGGAAUUGCCUUUGAAACUGGCAAACUAGAGUCCGAAAGAGGAUGGCGGAAUUCCCAGUGUAGAGGUGAAAUUCGU
rnacentral:rRNA from 1 species